rnacentral:lncRNA from 10 species
ACAUUUGCCAGUAUUAGAUUUAAAAGUGAUGUUUUCUGUAUCUAAAUGAUGAAUUAUGAUUCUUUUCAGUUGUUGGAUUUGAAAUUCCAGACAACUGGCAUUGACUCUAAUGAAGACUUCAGGGAUUUGAAUCAUGUUUGUGUCAUUAGUGAAACUGGAAAAGCAAAAUACAAAACAAGCCUCAGUUGAGAGUUCAAGUUGCGUUUGGAAACGUCUGGAGUCCUAUGGACAUCGCCAGUAAAAUUAUCAAUGUUCUAGUUCUGUGGCCAUCUGCUUAGCAGAGCUUUUUGCAUGUAUCUUCUAAGAAUUGUAUCUGUUUUGUAGUUUAGAAAUGUCAGUUGCUGCAUUCCUAAAGUGUUUAUUUGCACUACGAGCCUAUAGACUGUCAGUUACCUUUGGGUGGAUUGUGGUUUAACUUGUAAAUGAAAAAAAAAUAUUUUAAACCACACCACUAUUGAGUGAAACAUUGAAUCUUAUCCAUAAGAAAUAAGAAGAUACAUUAGUUUUUAAAUUGUUAUUUUAAUUUUUAUAUAUGCAGGAAAGAACAGAAGUAAUUGAGUAUUGUUAAUUAUACCACCGUGUGUUUAGAAAAGUAAGAAGCAGUCCAUUUUCACAUCAAGGACAGCAUCUGAGAAGUUUUGUUCUGUCAAAUAAAACUAUGUCCUGAAAUUAUUUUAGUAGUGUUUCAGUAGUGUUGACUGUAUUUUCCAACUUGUUCAGAUUAUUACCAGUGAAUCUUUGUCAGCAGUUCCUUUUAAAUGCAAAUCAACAAAUUCCCAAAAAUUUACUGCUUUUUGAAUUCUUCAAUGUAAAAAUCCUUAAAAUAAGGUCUGUCUCUUUAAAAGAAACUAUACAGUUAUCAUUUUGAGAGGUGACAAUGUGCUAGCAGCCCUCACUCUCUGCGACUCCUCAGCCUCGGCAUCCUCUCUAGGGGCACUUGAGGAGCCCUUCAGGCCGCCACCGCACUGUGGGAGCACCUCUCUGGGCUGGCCAAGGCUGGAGCCAGCUCCCUCUCCCUGCCGGAGGUGUGGAGGGAGAGGCGUGGGUGGGAACUGGGGCUGCCGCGCCACCCUCACAGGCCAGCGC